rnacentral:rRNA from 1 species
CAUGUCCUUUUGUUAUUUAUUUAAGGUUUAACCUGCCCAAUGAUUUUAAUUAAAUGGCCGCGGUAUUUUGGCCGUGCAAAGGUAGCAUAAUCAUUAGUUUUUUAAUUGAAAGCUUGUAUGAAGGGUUGAAUGGGAAAAUUACUGUUUUUAAAAUAUUUAAUUAGAAUUUUUUUUUUAAGUUAAAAAGCUUAAAUUUGAUUUAUAGACGAGAAGACCCUUUAGAGUUUCAUAAAUUUAUAUAUAAAAUUUUUUAGUAAUAAUUUGAUUUUAUAUAUUUUUUUAUUUAAUUGGGGGGAUUGAAAAAUUUAAAAAACUUUUUUUUUUAUUUUACAUUUAUAUAUGAAUAAUUGAUCCAUUUUUUAUGAUUAUAAGAUUAAAUUACCUAAGGGAUAACAGCGUUAUUUUUUUUGAGAGUUCAAAUCGAAAAAAAAGUUUGCGACCUCGAUGUUGGAUUAAAAUUAAAUUAUGGUGUAGAGGCUAUAAUCGCA